rnacentral:misc_RNA from 1 species
GAAAUGCGAUAAGUAAUGUGAAUUGCAGAAUUCAGUGAAUCAUCGAAUCUUUGAACGCAUCUUGUGCUCCUUGGUAUUCCUUGGAGCAUGCCUGUUUGAGUAUCAUGAAAUCUUCAAAGUAAAUCUUUUGUUAACUCAAUUGGUUUCUACUUUGGUAUUGGAGGUCUUUGCAGCUUCACACCUGCUCCUCUUUGUUCAUUAGCUGGAUCUCAGUGUUAUGCUUGGUUCCACUCGGCGUGAUAAGUUAUCUAUCGCUGAGGACACUGUAAAAGGUGGCCAAGGUAAAUGCAGAUGAACCGCUUCUAAUAGUCCAUUGACUUGGACAAUACUUUUAUGAUCUGAUCUCAAAUCAGGUAGGACUACCCGCUGAACUUAA